AAAAAUGUAGUAGAACGCAUUCACGCGAUAUCAACCAGAUACCCUCUCAGUUACACACGAUUUCACACAAAGAUAGUGUAUUUAUAAAAGGAAAAAUAACAACUUGGAUUAGCUUAUAAUAAUAGCAAAACGAAUACUAAUUAAUACCAGCAUUACUUAAAACUAAUCACGAAAUGCAUGAUUAUCAAAUGGGGAAACAAAGAGUUAGUUGGAUUGAAAUCAGCGGCUGUGAUCUCCGCUCAAUCUGCUAAUCGCAAGAAUGGUUGCAGAUGUACUUUCUCUGUUUGAUACCGUAUCACUUUGGAGUCUGUUGAGGGAGUCAAUAAUGGCGGUUGAUCUUGACUCUGCUUGACCAUGAUCGUCUUCUACUUCACCGCCUACACCUCCACCGCUUGUUCUUGCUUGCUUCAAUGGUCUAUAUGAAGCCAUUGAAUCCCCUUCAUCGUUGCUUAGUCUUCCACGGCCCGUAUGACAAGAGGAACAUCCAUUCUCAUCAUCAGAAUCAAUAUCAGCACUAUUCUCUCGCAUCCGCUUCAACGCCGCCGCACUUGCACCCAAAAAUCUACUCGAAAUCUCCUCUUCGCUACUCGAGGAACUCGCCGCCGGAGGUGAAGGAGAUGUAACCGACCACGGCACCACCUGAUUUUCCCCAUCUUCAUCCUCCUCUUCCUCUUCGUCUUCCUCCUCAUCAUCCUGCUCAUCGUCCUCAUCAUCAUAAUCAUCACUAUCAUCUAAAAAUUCAUCUUCCUGCUCAUUUCCUCCGUGGCUCUCGUCACGAUCCACACCUACUUCACCUUUCUUUCCGUUAUGCAAGGAAAAACAAGAUUCACAAAUGGAAACAGUAGGCCCAAGCUUAGGACCGGAGGCUUUCCACGGCGUCGGAGAUUGACAAACUUGGCAAAGAAGGGUUCUGCAAUGCUUAGCCACAAGAAAAUUAGCACAGUGAACCUUCUCAUCGCAGUCCCAACACAAGCUAGCUUGGUCUGAUUCGCAAUACAUUCUCGCAGUACCACCACAUAGCUCGCACCCUUUCAUGUCUCUCUCUCACUCGGUUCUCUGCCCCUUCUUUUUUUUCUUUUGGGGUUUCAAGACUCUGUUUCAGAAGAAGGAGAGGGAGAGGAAGAGGAAAGGUAAAAGCUGCAGAGAUUUAUG
rnacentral:misc_RNA from 1 species